AGAAACCAAAGAACAGAGUGAGGGGGAGGCCGAAGCCCACCCCCAUCCCGCUCACUGAAGACAUCUCCAGGGUUACAGGCGUAAAGAUCCUAGGAGGCUUCCAGAUGCAGGGAGAGAGGGUAUACAGGAAGCUGAGGAGCUGCCUACCUGGAGAUGGACUCCAUGUCUAAAGGAGAAACUGGGACAAGAAACUCCCUCCCUCCCACUCCUGCAGGACCCAAAGCAGACUGGAGCUCUGUAUACAGUGGGUGCUCAUUGCUGCUGACUGAAAGAGCUUCCCGCCAAUGCCGUCUUGGAUGGCAAGCCUACCUCAGGCAUCUCCUCAUCUUCGUCUUCUGAAGACACGUCUUCCUGUGUGC